rnacentral:rRNA from 1 species
UUCAGACGAUGCGUCAUGCAUAUCAAUAAGCGGAGGAAAAGAAACUAACAAGGAUUCCCCUAGUAACGGCGAGUGAAGCGGGAAGAGCUCAAAUUUGAAAUCUUAAAGGGUUUCCCUUUACGAAUUGUAGUUUAAAGAAGUGUUUUCUGUUGAGGUUUUGGUAAAAGUUCUUUGGAAUAGGACAUCAUAGAGGGUGAGAAUCCCGUAUUUGACCUUUACUUUCAACUUUGUGAUACACUUUCAAAGAGUCGGAUUGUUUGGGAAUGCAGUCCAAAAUGGGUGGUAAAUUUCAUCUAAAGCUAAAUAUUGGCGAGAGACCGAUAGCGAACAAGUACCGUGAGGGAAAGAUGAAAAGAACUUUGAAAAGAGAGUUAAACAGUACGUGAAAUUGUCAAAAGGGAAGCGUUUGACACCAGUGUUGUUUUUCUGAAAAUCAAUUAAAGAACUGUUUAUGCUAAGCUGUUUAGACUUUAUCAGCUAUCUGUUUAGUUUUUGAGCUUUUCUUUAAUGCACUUUUCAGUUAACAAGUCAACAUCAAUUUCUUUUGCUGUAAAAAAGCUUGAGGAAGGUGGCUUGAGAUUCGUCUUAAGUGUUUAUAGCCUCUUGCCUAUGCAGUCGGAGAGAUUGAGGUCUGCAGCGUAGAUCCUUCGGGGCUAAAUGCAUUUGUGCUAAGUUAUAGCAUUUUAUAGACAACUUGUUGACUAUGAUUUGUCUUGUAGCUUACUCGCUUAUGUUAUUUUACCUACGCUUAGGAUGUUGAGCGCAUGUCUCUCUCU